GCUGGGUGCAGUGGCGCGCGCCUGUAAUCCAAGCUGCUGGGAGGCUGAGGCUGGCGGAUCGCUUGAGUUCAGGGGUUCUGGGCUGCAGUGGACUAUGUCGAUCGGGUGUCCGCGCUAAGUUCGGUAUCGAUAUGGUGCUCCUGAGGGAGCUCGGGACCACCAGGUCGUCUAAGGAGGGGUGAAACGGCCCAGGUCGGAGACGGAGCAGGUCAAAUCCCCCGUGCCGAUCAGUAGUGGGGUCACGCCUGUGAAUGGACACUGCGCGAUACAGCGAGACUCAGACUUUU
rnacentral:SRP_RNA from 12 species